GCAUAUCAAUAAGCGGAGGAAAAGAAACCAACAGGGAUUGCCCCAGUAACGGCGAAGUGAAGCGGCAACAGCUCAAAUUUGAAAUCUGGCCCCUCGGGGUCCGAGUUGUAAUUUGUAGAGGAUGCUUUUGGUGAGGUGCCGCCCGAGUUCCCUGGAACGGGACGCCACAGAGGGUGAGAGCCCCGUCUGGCUGGCCACCGAGCCUCUGUAAAGCUCCUUCGACGAGUCGAGUAGUUUGGGAAUGCUGCUCAAAAUGGGAGGUAUAUGUCUUCUAAAGCUAAAUAUUGGCCAGAGACCGAUAGCGCACAAGUAGAGUGAUCGAAAGAUGAAAAGCACCUUGAAAAGAGGGUUAAAUAGUACGUGAAAUUGUUGAAAGGGAAGCGCUUGUGACCAGACUUGGGCGCGGCGGAUCAUCCGGGGUUCUCUCCGGUGCACUUCGCCACGUCCAGGCCAGCAUCAGUUCGUCGCGGGGGAAAAAGGCUUCGGGAACGUGGCUCCUCCGGGAGUGUUAUAGCCCGUUGCAUAAUACCCUGCGGUGGACUGAGGACCGCGCAUCUGCAAGGAUGCUGGCGUAAUGGUCACCAGCGACCCGUCUUGAAACACGGACCAAGGAGUCGUCUUCGUAUGCGAGUGUUCGGGUGUCAAACCCCUACGCGUAAUGAAAGUGAACGCAGGUGAGAGCUUCGGCGCAUCAUCGACCGAUCCUGAUGUUCUCGGAUGGAUUUGAGUAAGAGCAUACGGGGCCGGACCCGAAAGAAGGUGAACUAUGCCUGUAUAGGGUGAAGCCAGAGGAAACUCUGGUGGAGGCUCGCAGCGGUUCUGACGUGCAAAUCGAUCGUCAAAUAUGGGCAUGGGGGGCGAAAGACUAAUCGAACCUUCUAGUAGCUGGUUUCCGCCGAAG
rnacentral:rRNA from 1 species